rnacentral:rRNA from 1 species
GAAUAUUGGACAAUGGGGGGAACCCUGAUCCAGCCAUGCCGCGUGUGUGAAGAAGGCCUUUUGGUUGUAAAGCACUUUAAGCGAGGAGGAGGCUACUUAGAUUAAUACGCUUGGAGAGUGGACGUUACUCGCAGAAAAAGCACCGGCUAACGCAGUGCAAGCAGCCGCGGUAAUACAGAGGGUGCAAGCGUUAAUCUGAUUUACUGGGCGUAAAGCGCGCGUCGGUGGCCACUUAAGUCAAAUGUGAAAUCCCCGAUCUUAACUUGGGAAUUGCAUUCGAUACUGGUUGGCUAGAGUAUGGGAGAGGAUGGUAGAAUUCCAGGUGUAGCGGUGAAAUGCGUAGAGAUCUGGAGGAAUACCGAUGGCGAAGGCAGCCAUCUGGCCUAAUACUGACACUGAGGUGCGAAAGCAUGGGGAGCAAACA